rnacentral:misc_RNA from 1 species
CCCUUGUGGAGGAGGACGCCGAAGGUGGGGCUAAUGACUGGGGUGAAGUCGUAACAAGGUAGCCGUACCGGAAGGUGCGGCUGGAUCACCUCCUAACAGGGAGACAACAAAAUGUUUUUUAUUAUUAUUUUGUCACCUUAGGUCGAUCGGUAUCUCACGUUCUUAAUUAAUUAAGAAUUUUAUUUCCUAAGUUUUUCUAGGUCACACCCAUUAUUUUUCCUGGGCCAUUAGCUCAGGUGGUUAGAGCGCACCCCUGAUAAGGGUGAGGUCCCUGGUUCAAGUCCAGGAUGGCCCAUAUCUCUAUGUUGGGGGUAUAGCUCAGUUGGUAGAGCGCCUGCUUUGCAAGCAGGAUGUCAGCGGUUCGAGUCCGCUUACCUCCACUGAUUACCACCUCUUCCAUAAUCUGUAGAAGGGAAAUGUUUUGAGUUGUGAUCAAAUACUGAACGAAUCUAGCUUCCUAAUGAAAUCAUUAAGAUGCUGGACUCAUUGAAUUAAUUUCAUUGUUUUCAGAGAACCUUGACAACUGCAUAGAUUAUUUUUAAAGACAAUAAGCAUCUUUAAUGAUGCAGAUUUAUUAUUUGUGCGAAUGCAUUAAUAACAAUUCUAUUAAGCUGAUGCUUCAAUUUUGAAGUUAUUGGUCAAGCUACAAAGGGCUCACGGAGGAUACCUAGGCACACAGAGGCGA